rnacentral:tRNA from 1 species
GCCGGAGUAGCUCAGGUGGUCAGAGCGAGGGCCUCAUAAUCCCUAGGUCGGCGGUUCGAGUCCGCCCUCCGGCACCA